rnacentral:rRNA from 1 species
GUGAGGAAUCUUCCACAAUGGGCGAAAGCCUGAUGGAGCAACGCCGCGUGAAGGAUGAAGGUCUUCGGAUUGUAAACUUCUUUUAUGAGUGAAGAAUAUGACGGUAACUCAUGAAUAAGCACCGGCUAACUACGUGCCAGCAGCCGCGGUCAUACGUAGGGUGCAAGCAUUAUCCGGAGUGACUGGGCGUAAAGAGUUGCGUAGGCGGUUAUGUAAGCGAAUAGUGAAACCUGGUGGCUCAACCACACAGACUAUUAUUCGAACUGCAUAACUCGAGAAUGGUAGAGGUAACUGGAAUUUCUUGUGUAGGAGUGAAAUCCGUAGAUAUAAGAAGGAACACCAAUGGCGUAGGCAGGUUACUGGGCCAUUUCUGACGCUAAGGCACGAAAGCGUGGGGAGCGAACCGGAUUAGAUACCCGUGUAGUCC